GGCUCCAUUAAAGCUUUGUCAAAGAUCUGUGAGAUAACACCAGUAAGUGCGACAGUAUUGUCUAUGUUAACCGCUUUCACCUGUUCAAAAAGUUUUUCAAAAUUCUGAGGAGUCAGUUUGUUCAAGAUAGCUUUCAACUGCCUUUGCUUCACCUCUUCUUCAUCUGCCACUUUACCCACUUCAUACUUUUUCUCAGCCUUGUGCAUCAUCUGCAAUGGAGUUUGAGGAGAAGGAAUUAGUCCCUUUUGCUGGAAAUUUGUUGCACGCUGCCAUCUAUCAGCAUCUGGGCUAUUUCUUUGCAAAGGCCCAGAAAGGAUACCUCCAGCAUACUGAGUCGUCUGUGCUCGCAGAUUCCUUAAAACACCAUAAUUUCCUCCUUGUACAGGUCGAAACCCUGCACUACCUCCAAAACCAAAAUCCACAUGUAAAUCCCUCCCCAUGCCAAUGGUGCCUGGCAGUUUACUCCAUCUAUCAUCAUCAGCCAUACCACUUCCACGAC
rnacentral:misc_RNA from 1 species